CUUUGUCCUCCAGAAAUUGAACAAGUUACUUUCUUGGACUAAAGAAAACCCACAGCCUGCAUAGCUAGAACAGAGGCUUCUGGGGUUUCUUCCCCAAAAUGGGAAAUUUUGAAUGCUCUGGAGGAGACAAGGUUGGCCAGGGUUCAGGCAUUUUAACACAUAUUAAGAUUCAGCAGGCAAACAACUUUACAUUAUAGCUGGGAAAAAUGAAGAGGGAAAUGGAAGCAGAAUCCUACAUGCUUAGUCACGCAGCCAAUUAUGAAACCACGAUGCACCAUGUGUGAGAGAAGAAAUUGAAGUUUUUCUGCUUCGACAAAUGAAGAAAAAUGGUGCAGACAACACUAACAGUACCUAUGAACAGCUCUACCUGGCAAUACCUUCUAAUUCAUCUUGGGGAGCAAUUUAAGUCAGAUUCCACAUUGGAUGACAUGCUGCUAUCCUUACUAAUUAAAGUUGAAAUGAACUCAGCCAUUCGUUACAGUUAAUUUC
rnacentral:lncRNA from 1 species